GACGAACGCUGGCGGCGUGCCUAAGGCAUGCAAGUCGAGCGGUAGCUCCUAUUGGGAUAACCGAUAGGAGUGAGAGCGGCGCACGGGUGAGUAACACGUAGGUAACCUACCCCAGAGAGGGGGAUAACACCUCGAAAGGGGUGCUAAACCCCCAUAUACUUACCGAGCGGACGGCUCAGGUAAGGAAAGAGUAUACAGAGGCGACUCUGUAUGCUGCUCUGGGAUGGGCCUGCGGCCUAUCAGCUAGUUGGUGGGGUAAUGGCCCACCAAGGCUAAGACGGGUAGCCGGCCUGAGAGGGUGGUCGGCCACACUGGGACUGAGACACGGCCCAGACUCCUACGGGAGGCAGCAGCCGGGAAUCUUCCGCAAUGGGGGAAACCCUGACGGAGCGACGCCGCGUGAGGGAAGAAGCCCUUCGGGGUGUAAACCUCUUUUCUCGGGGAAGAAGGAUGACGGUACCCGAGGAAAAAGUCCCGGCUAACUACGUGCCAGCAGC
rnacentral:rRNA from 1 species